rnacentral:ncRNA from 1 species
AAUAUAUUUUAUUUUGGUUUAAAAUUUUAUUAUUAUUUUGUUUUACAUGUAAAUUUUUGUGAGAAUUAAGUUUAAUCUAAAUGAUUAAAUAUUAUUUAUUUUAUUCGCAGUAAUUAAUAUUAAUUAUAAAAGAAAUUUUGAAUUAGUAAUAAUAUAUAAUAUUGGUAAAAUUUGUGCCAGCUMCCGCGGUUAUACAAAUAAUGUAAAUAAAAUUUUUUAGUAUUAGUUAAAUUGAUUAUUUUAAUUUAAAUAUAAAUUUAUUAGGUGAAAUUUUUAAAUUUAUUUAUAAUUAAUUAUUAAUAAAUUUAAGCUAUAAAAUUUUUGUAAUAAACUAGGAUUAGAUACCCUAUUAUUAAAAAUAAAUAAAAAUAUAUUAAAGUAGUAUUAGUUAUAUUCUUAAAAUUUAAAAAAUUUGGCGGUGUUUUAGUCUAUUUAGAGGAACCUGUUCUGUAAUUGAUAAUCCACGUUGGACCUUACUUAAAUUUGUUUUCAAUUUGUAUAUCGUUGUCAUCAGAAUAUAUUAUAAGAUAAAUAAUUUUCUUAAUAUUAUAAUAAAUAAUAUGUCAAAUCAAGGUGCAGUUUAUGUUUAAGUAGAAAUGGGUUACAAUAAAUUUAUUUAUAUGGAUAAUUUGUUUGAAAAAAUAAUUUGAAAGUGGAUUUAAUAGUAAUUUAAAAUAGAUAAUUUAUUUGAUUAUAGCUCUAAAACAUGCACACAUCGCCCGUCGCUCUCAAUUUUAAGAUGAGAUAAGUCGUAACAUAGUAGAUGUACUGGAAAGUGUAUCUAGAUUGA